UACGAAGGGGGCUAGCGUUGCUCGGAAUCACUGGGCGUAAAGCGCACGUAGGCGGCUUUCUAAGUCAGGGGUGAAAUCCUGGAGCUCAACUCCAGAACUGCCUUUGAUACUGGAGAGCUUGAGUCCGGAAGAGGUGAGUGGAACUCCGAGUGUAGAGGUGAAAUUCGUAGAUAUUCGGAAGAAACACCAGUGGCGAAGGCGGCUCACUGGUCCGGUACUGACGCUGAUGGUGCGAAAGCGUGGGGAGCAAACAGG
rnacentral:rRNA from 1 species